ACUCCUACGGGAGGCAGCAGUGGGGAAUAUUGCACAAUGGGCGCAAGCCUGAUGCAGCCAUGCCGCGUGUAUGAAGAAGGCCUUCGGGUUGUAAAGUACUUUCAGCAGUGAGGAAGGCGGGUACGUUAAUAGCGUGCUCGUUUGACGUUAGCUGCAGAAGAAGCACCGGCUAACUCCGUGCCAGCAGCCGCGGUAAUACGGAGGGUGCGAGCGUUAAUCGGAAUUACUGGGCGUAAAGCGCAUGCAGGUGGUUUGUUAAGUCAGAUGUGAAAGCCCGGGGGCUCAACCUCGGAAUUGCAUUUGAAACUGGCAGACUAGAGUACUGUAGAGGGGGUAGAAUUUCAGGUGUAGCGGUGAAAUGCGUAGAGAUCUGAAGGAAUACCGGUGGCGAAGGCGGCCCCUGGACAGAUACUGACACUCAGAUGCGAAAGCGUGGGGAGCAAACAGGAUUAGAUACCCUGGUAGCACAGAG
rnacentral:rRNA from 1 species